AGUGAACGCUGGCGGUAGGCCUAACACAUGCAAGUCGAACGGCAACACAGUAAGAUCUUGCUCUUACGGGUGGCGAGUGGCGGACGGGUGAGGAAUACAUCGGAAUCUACUUUUUCGUGGGGGAUAACGUAGGGAAACUUACGCUAAUACCGCAUACGACCUACGGGUGAAAGCAGGGGAUCUUCGGACCUUGCGCGAUUGAAUUAGCCGAUGUCGGAUUAGCUAGUUGGCGGGGUAAAGGCCCACCAAGGCGACGAUCCGUAGCUGGUCUGAGAGGAUGAUCAGCCACACUGGAACUGAGACACGGUCCAGACUCCUACGGGAGGCAGCAGUGGGGAAUAUUGGACAAUGGGCGCAAGCCUGAUCCAGCCAUACCGCGUGGGUGAAGAAGGCCUUCGGGUUGUAAAGCCCUUUUGUUGGGAAAGAAAAGCAGCAGGUUAAUACCCCGCUGUUCUGACGGUACCCAAAGAGUAAGCACCGGCUAACUUCGUG
rnacentral:rRNA from 1 species